rnacentral:rRNA from 1 species
GGGCCCUACGGGAGGCAGCAGUGAGGAAUAUUGGUCAAUGGCCGAGAGCCUGAACCAGCCAAGUCGCGUGAGGGAAGACUGCCCUAUGGGUUGUAAACCUCUUUUGUCAGGGAGCAAUUGGCGCUACGUGUAGCGUUAUCGAGAGUACCUGAAGAAAAAGCAUCGGCUAACUCCGUGCCAGCAGCCGCGGUAAUACGGAGGAUGCGAGCGUUAUCCGGAUUUAUUGGGUUUAAAGGGUGCGUAGGCGGAAUGCCAAGUCAGCGGUAAAAUCGCGGGGCUCAACCUCGCUCCGCCGUUGAGACUGG